AUAAAAUUUAAUGCGAUCGAAGAAAACAAGAGAGAUAAUUUUUUGAUGUCUUGCAGAACACCAUAAAUUUCGGCGAUCUGAUCACCGGAUCGAAUAGCUCGGAUGAGCGUUGGGGAAUCAGAAUUUAUCCUUAGAUUCAGCCGAUGUCUGCCGUCUUUAGAUCUGCUCUCCAGGCUGCAUCGGAGAAGCAUAUGAUGGUGUCUGAAGGUUGUCUGAUCUGUUGCUGGAUUACUUUGUGAUUUGGCCUUGAGCAUCAGAUACGGCUUUGGUUGUAUCCUCCGGUGAGAAAUUUAUGUUCUCAAAGGGGCUGGUUGGGAGUUUGAAACAGGACAUCGUGUAAGAAUUGCAGAUAGGACUGACUUGAGCAUAACUAGUUUGCCAGCACUCGAGAGAAACCGUGAGGACUAACUGGCUGCCUUUAGUCGAUAUUUACUUCCUUCUCUAGAUCUGCAUUUUUUUGCCUUAGUUCGAUUUUCUGCUUAUUUCAUUUGCUUUCAUUCGAUUUUCUACUUGCUUUUUAGGAUAGAUUCAUUUACGUUCUUUAGUUUUAAUUUAAUCUGUGACAAACAACCAACCCCUAAAACCAGAUUUAGUCUAGACAUAAACUUAAAAGCCAUAGAAAAAUAUCAGACACACAAAUCCCUGUAGAUUCGAUCCUAAGUACUACAAUUGAUUAGCUGUGCACUUGCAGCUUUCAAUUGUUUUUAUCAAGGGUAAAACUUUUUCCCUCACCUCGUAGCACAUCAAAGAAAGAGAUCAUAAGUAGGUGGUCUGAGCCUUCAAACUGGAGAUACUUACAUCUUUCUUGUGGAAAAUUUUCAGCCCAGUCACUGUUAUAUUGCUCUAUCAAGGCGGCAGUGGAUGUUGUGAGUAUUCCUGACUCCCCACCAUGAAAGCGGAUUACCCGUGUGACUGAGGUCAUAUAGAUCGCAAGGGGCCAUGAACUCUAUGAAGUCUCAAAAGUUGAGAAGAAACUAUUUUUUUGUGUUUAAUAGAUGUAUCGAUGAAGUCCUUGCAGGCUCAAAGUACUGUCAGCUCAGAAGAUGAAUCUGAUGUGAGUGCAGU